GGUUAAGCGACUAAGCGUACACGGUGGAUGCCCUGGCAGUCAGAGGCGAUGAAGGACGUGCUAAUCUGCGAUAAGCGUCGGUAAGGUGAUAUGAACCGUUAUAACCGGCGAUUUCCGAAUGGGGAAACCCAGUGUGUUUCGACACACUAUCAUUAACUGAAUCCAUAGGUUAAUGAGGCGAACCGGGGGAACUGAAACAUCUAAGUACCC
rnacentral:rRNA from 1 species